UAGGCCGGCCCAGGUUCGGCCCAUUAUCACCUGACUGACGACUCCAUCACGCUAGGGUUUCCGUGCGGAGUAAGAAGCGCCGAUCUCCAUCUACACAAAAUCAUUGAAUCAUUUUCCUUCAAACUCUGCAUUUCAAGCAAUUUCUGAGUUCAUGCAAGGAAAGGGCGAGAGAAUAUAGGAAUCGAAAUGUGGUUUCCUUUACUUUUCUUCAUUUCCUUGGUAACCAAGCAGGGGUCGGAUUUUACUCAUAACUUGGGAAUGUUAUUGCUGGAAGUUUUGAAAGCUAGGGUUGCUGUUUGAAAGACUUGGAACCAUUCCAAGCUUGGAUUAUAGCUAAGACUGAAUUUUGUUAGAUUGAUGGUGAUUGAUCUUUGGGAACGUUUUCUUCUGUAAAAAUAGAUUUAGUUUGAAUUGUAAGGUUUUCAUAACUGAGGAUUGGGGAAUACGGAAAAAAGCCACUUUACUUAAAAUUCACACUUUACUUCUCAACUGUGAUGCAGAGUGAUGCACCUCGUCAAUUCCAGACUGAGAGCUGAAGCUGCUCUUCUCUUCAGUCUCACCCAAAUCUCUCAUUUCACAUUGCAAUUACUUUAAUGCCACCCUCACCUGAUUGGAUGAUUGUGGCAAAAAGUUCAAUGGCAUGAAUGGAGUCGGAAAAGUAGUGAUUGUGGAAUGUUUGUAAUCAAAUAUGUUGAAUACUUGAUGCACAAUCAUCUAUUCAAUUCACUAAUUGGGGGCUUGUAUGAAUUGGUUUCUGGAGAAAAUGUCAGCAGAGUUAUUCUAUUUGAAAGAUUUGCCUAUGUAAUUAAUUCAUAUAAACUUAAUGAUUCACAUUUUGAUAAAUGUAGUUGGACUUUUUGAUAUGUGUAGUUGGACAUUUUGAUAUAUGUGGUUGAACAUUGUAAUAUAUGUAGUUAGACAUUUUGAUAGAUAUUAAUAUAAAUUUAAAUGUAGCUUCA